rnacentral:lncRNA from 1 species
UAUACAACAUAAAUACAAGAGUUGUUUUGUCAUUUUACAAUAGGAAUAAUAAAUAAUGCUCGUUAAAACUUGCUGAUGAGAAAGUAAAUUCCUCAGAAAUUAAAUAUUUCAGCCAACCAAGGAAGCAUCUUUUCAUGGACCAACUCAGGCCUGUCGUCAUGGGGGCAAUGUCCUACUCCUUCCAAUACAAUUAGCUUCACAUUUGAGAGUUUA